CGAAAAAUGCAUAAAAAUAAGGCUAUAAAUUGCUUACCAACACACAAACCAUUCACAAUUGCUAAAUUGGGCUAAAAUAGAAGACUCCGUGUGAUACUAAAUGAAGAGCCAUUUGGGAGCCGUAAGAGCCGGCUCUUCUAAGGGAGCCGAUCCAAAAGAGCCGAAUCUUUGAAAAGAGCCGGACUUCCCAUCACUGGGCGUUACCAAAGACAACUUUGGCUUUAAGUUACUUACUAGGAGAGUAUGAGACUGGUUUAUACAUUGCGCUCAUUCAGCCGCAGCCUCUCAUAUACAGCAUCAUCAUGGAUACCGCGCUAUUGUUUCUUGCUUAUUUGUUCUCGUGCUUUUCUCUCAUCGAGGGAAAGUCACCCGAAGGUGAAGCGUGUGUUGGGAUUCGGAGAGAAGAUUCAUCCUAUGACUUUGAGCUGCCCAACGCUGUAGCCGUGAACAUGCAAAACCCUACGUGUGAUGCGGAGUGGACCAUUGACCAAUUCACAGCAAUUCUGGAUGGAAAUUCAACUCACUUUUCUCAUCCCUUCAAAAAAGUAACUCGUCAGGGAAUCAGUGUGUCUUACUGUCCAACUUCAGUCAGAUUCCACGUCUCUUGUCCAAUAUACACCAAUGACCUCACAUGUUGUUGCACAAAUUCCACCAACAAUCCAGUUUUUAGCACAACCCUGCCAUUUAGAGGUAUUAAACGUCAUUACCUUUAAAUCUGAAUCAUGUUACUAAAUCCUGUUACUUUUGCAACACUGAAAUGAAAUAACCUAAAACGUUUAGUCCAGUGUUGGAGUAGUUGGAGUUUUCUUUAGAGUGUACAGCAAAUAUACCUUCAGGAAAUGGUGGUAGGGAUAUAGUAUGUGGUGAUAUUAGAGAAAGAUUUUGCAAAUGCAUGUACUGACUUUUUGUAUAAUAUAACUACAUUUACAGAUAUGUCCUCCUUUGCCAUCAAAACUGAUUCAUCAGUGAGGCAACACUGUAAGUAUAGUCUGUAAAAUAAAUAUAAAUGACCAAGUACCCA
rnacentral:lncRNA from 1 species